CACAAAGGCGGCGGGAUACGAGCUAUACAUCACUGACUCUCCCAGCUCUCCGCUCGGGCUGGGUGAGGCUGUUUCUCCUUAUUCGGGGGCGGUGAGGCCAGGGAAGUCGUCCCCGCCCUCCGCUCUGCAGCUAGACUCAAUAACGUCCCUAGAGGCCAGAAGGGGAAGUUUGUAUGAAGACUGGCUCAUAAGGGUUUACUGUCCAGGAUCCCAACGCAUGUAUGAUGUGCAAGCUCCAGAACAGCCUGUCCAGGGAAUCUCACCAUCAGUGUCCGAGAAGAUCAGAACAAUAAGCACUCUGUGCAAAAGAAAAUCUUCAAAAGAUUGGCUAAUGCAGGAACCCUCAACUCCUUUACAGGUACAUGGGGUAUAUUU
rnacentral:lncRNA from 1 species